rnacentral:lncRNA from 1 species
ACGGAAAAUUGAAGAUAACAUUAAAAGGAACAUAAUCAAAGUACAGAAUCCUGGCAAAAAAAAAGUAGAGAAUCCUGGCAAUACUGAAAUACGACUAUCCCACUGCAUAGCUUACAUAAUUACAUUCAUUAGCAAAAGACUAGACUACUAGUAAUUUAGACCCUCGACUAAACCCUGGCUAAGAACUAAGAAUACAUUAUUAAUGCACUUGAAUCUUCAAAAAGCUCCCAUAUUCCACUAGCACUUCUGCAACUUGCAUAAGCGCAUUCAUUUCUUCAAGAUCACUAGCUUCCUCAUGCAUGACGUCUGCCUUGGGCUCAGAGAUUUGUAUAGGGCUAGUGCUUCCUCCUGCUUCUGUGCUUCAGACCCUGAGAGCUUUCAAGAUUCUUUGAUUGUUAUUGAUAGAGUUCACAGGCCUUGCACCCCAGGACAGCUUGCUCCAAAACAUCUUUCACUCUAACUCCAACCCAUAUUUCAGCCUCAAGAACAAUUUCUCCUUUGAGAAAAGUGGGGAAACGGAUGAGAGAACUCCACUGUUUAAGAUCUCCACUGCUUAUACGUACACUCAAAGCUCCAUUCGAGUUAAAAUUGUAGUUUUAGAAGAGUUUUUCUUUACCCUUUCCAGUUAUAUGGAGCUAGGCUGAUGUGCUGAGACCGAGUCGAAAGCCAGAAGGUUAGGAGGUUCCUCCUCAAAAGGAGAAUCCAAAGGUUGUGGCACCACCUGAUUAAUGAUUAUUCUCUUGGACCUGCAGAAAGUCAUCAACGUUGAUGCCAUGAACAUGAGAAUGAUCGUCCUGGAAAAUUUGAAAUACCUCAUGAAAAUUGUGGGGGUGCUAAGUGAAAACCCCACAUCUGUUGAUUUUAACGGUAAAUGAAACGGAGAAUGGUCAAAAUGAUGCAAAACGAAGCGCUUUUAAAAUUUUAUGGUGCAUACUGUCAAAAGAAAUUGUUUGAGACCAAAUCGAAAAAACGCCUAAAUAUAAGGGAGCAAAGUGUUAAGCACUCAUUAAUUUAUUACAAAUCAUAUAUUAUAUUGAUUUUGUAGCCCCCUUAGAAAUGAUAUAUCUUAUAUAAAGCUACUUGACAUCUUAUAAUUUUACAUUUUUCUAUUUUACUAACCUGAAUCAAACUGUUCGGCAAAAAAAAAAAAAACCUCAAUCAAUCUGAGUCUCAAUUUUGUAACCCUAUUCAAUUCAAAUAUAUUAUUUAUUCUCCGAGUCAAGUACAUGAUGACAUACUACAUUAUUAGGUUUGCUAGAAAGCAAAUUCCAGAAUAAUACUCAAAAAGCAGCCGGGAAAGGCUUUGCUGGAUCAACCAGCAGGAAUAUAUCAAAAAUUCCUCAAGUGGUGUGUACCUGUAUUCUGGGUAUAGCUCAACAACGUCUAAGUCAUCCUUUUUCAGAUCCUAAGCCAUCUCCUCGCCUUUUAUGAAAAGGCUGUGAAGUAUUGCCAUAGUUACAUUCUCCGAGAAUACUUAACGCUGCAAAGAUAAUUUGUCAGUAAUAUUGCAUUUCCCAAAGAAUGUACCUAUGGCAAUACUCAACAGCCUUUUCGUAGGAG